UGGGGAAUUUUGCACAAUGGGGGAAACCCUGAUGCAGCGACGCCGCGUGAUUUAGAAGGCCUUCGGGUUGUAAAAAUCUUUUUUACGGGAUGAAAAUGACAGUACCGUAAGAAUAAGGUCCGGCUAAAUACGUGCCAGCAGCCGCGGUAAUACGUAUGGACCGAGCGUUGUCCGGAAUCAUUGGGCGUAAAGGGUACGUAGGCGGCCUAGUAAGUUAGAAGUGAAAUAAUAUAGCUCAACUAUAUAAAGCUUUUAAAACUGCUAGGCUUGAGAGAUGGAAGGGAAAAUGGAAUUCCUAGUGUAGCGGUGAAAUGCGCAGAUAUUAGGAAGAAUACCGGUGGCGAAGGCGACUUUCUGGUCAUCAUCUGACGCUGAGGUACGAAAGCGUGGGUAGCAAACAGG
rnacentral:rRNA from 1 species